rnacentral:rRNA from 1 species
AUACGGAGGGGGCUAGCGUUAUUCGGAAUUACUGGGCGUAAAGAGUUCGUAGGCGGACUGGAAAGUUAGAGGUGAAAGCCCAGGGCUCAACCCUGGAACGGCCUUUAAAACUUCCAGUCUAGAGACAGAUAGAGGUAAGGGGAAUACUUAGUGUAGAGGUGAAAUUCGUAGAUAUUAAGUGGAACACCAGUGGCGAAGGCGCCUUACUGGAUCUGUUCUGACGCUGAGGAACGAAAGCGUGGGGAGCGAACGGGAUUAGAUACCCCAGUAGUCC